CAAAGUAAGAAAAGAUGUUAGUGUUCAUUUUGAAGUAAAUGUGAUGUAAAAGAAAUGAUGAAAGAAUGUAAAGAUUUUGGAAUGUAAGAAUUCGUUAAAUUACUAGAUGAAUGCAAUGUAUGUGAUCCAAAAUGAAUCAUAUUACUUGAGAAUGUUUAGUUUCCUUUUUCUUUCACUAAUGGCUAUUGCUUACCCUCGUGUAAGCCGUUUGUGUAUGUUUCCGCUAGUGCACUUCUUAUUGAAAAUGUACAUGUGAUGAGCCUUGGGCGGAUAGGGGAAACUCUGUCCGUUCGGCGUCUGUUUGACGUGCUCGGGUCGGGCCAAAUUGGCAUCGGUCCCGGGGCGUGACAGA
rnacentral:lncRNA from 1 species